rnacentral:rRNA from 1 species
GACGAACGCUGGCGGCGUGCUUAACACAUGCAAGUCGAACGGAGCGAAUGAAAGCUUGCUUUUAUGAGCUUAGUGGCAAACGGGUGAGUAACACGUAGACAACCUACCGAUCAGAUGGGGACAACAUUCCGAAAGGAAUGCUAAUACCGAAUGGCGUGGAGGGAAGGCAUCUUCCUUUCAUGAAAGAUGGCCUCUAUAUAUAAGCUAUCACUGAUCGAUGGGUCUGCGUCUGAUUAGCUAGUAGGUAAGGUAACGGCUUACCUAGGCGACGAUCAGUAGCCGGUCUGAGAGGAUGAACGGCCACAUUGGGACUGAGACACGGCCCAGACUCCUACGGGAGGCAGCAGUGGGGAAUCUUCCGCAAUGGGCGCAAGCCUGACGGAGCAACGCCGCGUGAGUGAAGAAGGUCUUCGGAUCGUAAAGCUCUGUUGAAGGGGACGAACGUACAUAGUGCGAAUAGGUGCUGUGU